rnacentral:rRNA from 1 species
AUUGAACGCUGGCGGCGUGCUUAACACAUGCAAGUCGAACGCGAAAGUGGCUUCGGCCGCGAGUAGAGUGGCGCACGGGUGAGUAACGCGUGGAUAAUCUGCCCUCAUGACCGGGAUAACAGUUGGAAACGGCUGCUAAUACCGGAUACGCUCUGAAUGAAGUUUUAGGGGAAAGACGGCCUCUGCUUGCAAGCUGUCGUAUGAGGAUGAGUCCGCGUCCCAUUAGCUUGUUGGCGGGGUAAGUGCCCACCAAGGCAACGAUGGGUAGCCGAUCUGAGAGGAUGAUCGGCCACACUGGAACUGAAACACGGUCCAGACUCCUCGGGAGGCAGCAGUGGGGAAUAUUGCGCAAUGGGCGAAAGCCUGACGCAGCGACGCCGCGUGAGGGAUGAAGGUUUUCGGAUCGUAAACCUCUGUCAGAAGGGAAGAAGGUGCGUGGUGCCAAUCAGCCGCGUAUUGACGGUACCUUCAA